rnacentral:rRNA from 1 species
UGGGAAUAUUGCGCAAUGGGCGAAAGCCUGACGCAGCAACACCGCGUGAGGGAUGACGGCCUUCGGGUUGUAAACCUCUUUCAGCUCCGACGAAGCGAAAGUGACGGUAGGAGCAGAAGAAGCACCGGCUAACUACGUGCCAGCAGCCGCGGUAAUACGUAGGGUGCAAGCGUUGUCCGGAUUUAUUGGGCGUAAAGAGCUCGUAGGCGGUUCGGUAAGUCGGGUGUGAAAACUCUGGGCUCAACCCAGAGAGGCCACUCGAUACUGCUGUGACUAGAGUGCGGUAGGGGAGCGGGGAAUUCCUGGUGUAGCGGUGAAAUGCGCAGAUAUCGAGGAGGAACACCAGUGGCGAAGGCGCCGCUCUGGGCCGUAACUGACGCUGAGGAGCGAAAGCAUGGGUAGCAAAGCAGGAUUAGAUACCCUGGUAGUCCACGCCGUAAACGAUGGAUACUAGGUGUUGGGUAGCAUGCUAUUCAGUGACCGUAGCUAACGCGUUAAGUAUCCCGCCU